rnacentral:tRNA from 3 species
GCGCCCAUAGCUCAAUGGUAGAGCAGCUGCCUUUUAAGCAGUUGGUUCCAGGUUCGAAUCCUGGUGGGCGCACCG